rnacentral:rRNA from 1 species
UACGAAGGGGGCUAGCGUUGCUCGGAAUCACUGGGCGUAAAGCGCACGUAGGCGGACUCUUAAGUCGGGGGUGAAAUCCUGGAGCUCAACUCCAGAACUGCCUUCGAUACUGGGAGUCUUGAGUUCGGGAGAGGUGAGUGGAAUUCCGAGUGUAGAGGUGAAAUUCGUAGAUAUUCGGAGGAACACCAGUGGCGAAGGCGGCUCACUGGUCCAUUACUGACGCUGAGGUGCGAAAGCGUGGGGAGCAAACAGG